rnacentral:snRNA from 1 species
AUACUCUGGUUUCUCUUCAGAUCACGUAAGUCUUUUGCCUUUUACGAAAGAUUUCUGUGGAGAGGAACAAUUCUGAGUCUUUUAAUAUGUAUUUUUAGGACAGGAUCUCGCUAUGUUGC